rnacentral:misc_RNA from 1 species
UCAAACUUGGUCAUUUAGAGGAAGUAAAAGUCGUAACAAGGUUUCCGUAGGUGAACCUGCGGAAGGAUCAUUACUGGUUACUGUUGGCUUGCCAACUUUGCCAUUCCCUUGUUUUCCAACCCUCCUGUUGCUUCAUGGAAUGAAAGAGCCUGAUCAUGAUCAACUCUUCCUAGGCUGAUGUCUAGCAAGUCCAUGAACUAUGACCCUUCAAACCUACACUAAUUGUACUGUCUGAGGAAUGAGAAUUGACACAAAACUUUCAACGAUGGAUCUCUUGGUUCCAGCAUCGAUGAAGAACGCAGC